UCACGUCAGUUCACAUUUCCUUGUGGGAUCUUCAUUGAUACGCCACCGAGAUGUACAGCCUCGAACCUGUUCUAGCAUUCAUGGAGUAGAAGCUUAACUUCGGAAGCCUCGCCCGAGUACGGUUGGGAUUUGGAUGCGAGCAUUGGGCACGUGCUGGAUUUGGUGUUGUCAGCACUACGAUGACCUCCUUCGGCACUCCUGGUUACCACGUUGGCUACGACUACGUUUUUUGGCCCCGGCAACAUCUGCGCGGGUGUGUACCAGCCGCUGGACCAGCUACGCACCGACGUUCACCGAGGGAUUUUUUAGUACCUCAGGAUUUACGGGUUGGGCAGACGCGGAAGCAAGGCGCAACUCCAUUGCCUCUUCACACCCAGUGAAGUGGAGUCGCUACCGCAAAUUUUGGAG